GACGAACGCUGGCGGCAUGCUUAACACAUGCAAGUCGAACGGUAAGGCCCUUCGGGGUACACGAGUGGCGAACGGGUGAGUAACACGUGGGUGAUCUGCCCUGCACUUCGGGAUAAGCCUGGGAAACUGGGUCUAAUACCGGAUAGGACCACUGCCUGCAUGGGUGGUGGUGGAAAGCUUUUGCGGUGUGGGAUGGGCCCGCGGCCUAUCAGCUUGUUGGUGGGGUGAUGGCCUACCAAGGCGACGACGGGUAGCCGGCCUGAGAGGGUGACCGGCCACGCUGGGAGUGAGAUACGGCCCAGACUCCAACGGGUGGCAGCGGUGGGGAAUAUGGCACGGUGGGCGCAAGCCUGAUGCAGCGCCGCCGCGGGAGGGAUGGCGGCCUUCGGGUUGUAAACCUCUUUCAGCACCGACGAGGCGCAAGCGACGGUAGGUGCAGAAGAAGGACCGGCCAACUACGUGCCAGCCGCCGCCGUAA
rnacentral:rRNA from 1 species